rnacentral:rRNA from 1 species
UACAGAGGUCUCAAGCGUUGUUCGGAUUCAUUGGGCGUAAAGGGUGUGUAGGUGGCGCCGUAAGUCGGGUGUGAAAUCUCGGAGCUUAACUCCGAAACUGCAUUCGAUACUGCGGUGCUUGAGGACUGGAGAGGAGACUGGAAUUCAUGGUGUAGCAGUGAAAUGCGUAGAGAUCAUGAGGAAGACCAGUGGCGAAGGCGGGUCUCUGGACAGUUCCUGACACUGAGACACGAAGGCCAGGGGAGCAAACGGG